UACGUAGGGGGCAAGCGUUGUCCGGAUUUACUGGGCGUAAAGCGCGCGUAGGCGAAACGAUCAGUCCGGUCUGAAAGCCCCCGGCUCAACCGGGGAGGGUGGCUGGAAACUGUCGUUCUUGAGGGCGAGAGAGGAGGGUGGAAUUCCUGGUGUAGCGGUGAAAUGCGUAGAGAUCAGGAGGAACACCAGUGGCGAAGGCGGGUCUCUGGACAGUUACUGACGCUGAGGCACGAAGGUCAGGGGAGCAAACGGG
rnacentral:rRNA from 1 species